GGACCUGAUAUCAGGCAAGAUUACCCGCUGAACUUAAGCAUAUUAAUAAGCGGAGGAAAAGAAACUAACAAGGAUUCCCCUAGUAACGGCGAGUGAAGCGGGAAGAGCUCAAGCUUAAAAUCUCCGUGUAAGUUUUGCACGGCGAAUUGUAGUCUAUAGAGGCGUGGUCAGCGUGGGCGCUUGGGGCAAGUUCCUUGGAAGAGGACAGCAUGGAGGGUGAUACUCCCGUUCAUCCCUGAGUUGCUCGUGCGUACGGCCCGUUUUCUUUGAGUCGCGUUGUUUGGGAAUGCAGCGCAAAGUAGGUGGUAAAUUCCAUCUAAAGCUAAAUAUUGGUGCGAGACCGAUAGCGAACAAGUACCGUGAGGGAAAGAUGAAAAGAACUUUGAAAAGAGAGUUAAAGAGUACCUGAAACUGCUGAAAGGGAACCGAAUCGUUUCCAGUGUCUAUAAUCUGUGGCAUAUUUCAUUGGCGAGUGUGUGCGUGCGUGUACUGUGGCAGUGGCUUUUUUGGCUGCGCUCGGUGUGUGUGCUGUGUGUGCUUGCUGGUGCCCUGUGCUGCGGUGGGACGUCAAGGUCAGUUCGUAUGCUGCGGGAAAUGGCUACCGAGGAGGUAGGGCUUACGCUUGCGUUUGUCUGUUAUAUCUUGGUGGACGAGUAGUCGCGGUUGGGACUGAGGUGCCUACAACGUGCUUUUGAGUGUGUUUGUGUCUCCGUGUGCGCCGUGUGCGGAUAGCUUGCUAUGCGUGUGUGGUUGUGUGUGGAUUGAUGCGGACUUUAACUUGUUGCCGUUCGGGACGUUGACGAAAUGGAGCGAUCCGACCCGUCUUGAAACACGGACCAAGGAGUCUAACAUGUGUGCAAGUGUUAGGGUGUGGAAACCCCAGCGCGAAAUGAAAGUGAAGGGCAGCGUUAGCUGUCUGAGGUAGGAAACGUUGUGGGCUUCGGUCUGCGGCGUGGCACUAUCGACCGAUCAUGAACCUUCGUGGUGAAAGAUUUGAGUUUGAGCACAUAUGUUGGUACCCGAAAGAUGGUGAACUAUGCCUGAGUAGGGUGAAGCCAGGGGAAACUCUGGUGGAAGCUCGUAGCGAUUCUGACGUGCAAAUCGAUCGUCAAACUUGGGUAUAGGGGCGAAAGACUCUCCCGGCCAUUAAGCCGUGGUGGUUUGUUCGUAAUCACUCGUGGUCAGGUCCGUUUGGGCCCCGGGAAUAUAAACGCGUCGAUACUAAUCCGUGAGGGGGACACGGCCUCUUGGGGAUAACGGACGACGCUACACCUGAAUAUCCUCAUCAAUCCGUAGGACCCCCGUAUUUUGUUUCUGUAGUUGUGGGGGUGUCGUGCGUGUCAAGGCCCUUAGCGGGGUGUGGGCGUGCCUGACCUUACAAAGGAGUAUGCCAUGCGGGUUGUGCCGGGAGGUUUAGGACUUUCGAGUUCUCUAUCGCGCACUAAUAUAUUGGUAGCCGCGGGUGCGUUGACGGAUGCGUCACGUACCGCCCGACGUCGGGAGGUCGGGUCCCUAGACAGUCGAAUUGGCGACUGGCCGGGUUUGUUACGUCCCAGAGGCUAAUGCCUCAGUGCAGUUUUGGUGUUUGCUAGGUCAAUCCCAAGAGUCGAAGCCCAGUCGGGUAGGACAGGUAUACAUUGCUACCGUGGAAAUGGCGGGUGCACGCCACUCCGGUGGCGCACGCCUCCUCUCCCCCUCGUGCUUGCGCGAGUGGGUAGGGAGCUCGUGGGUAGAUGACGGUACAGGUCCCGUCGGUCGUUGUCUAAUUAGAGGGUGAGUUUUAGUGGGUUAAGCCCCACACUACCCUGAUCCUUAACCUUGGGAAACUCCGACGGCAAUGCUUGUGGGUGGAACUUGGGGAUCGGGGUGUGCUGAAACCCCGCGCGGCGAUGACACGCCCGAUGGAAACAUCGGCAUCGCUGUGCGGUCGGAAUCCAUGUGGAGCUAACGCUGCACGGCAGAAGCAUGGUGAACGUUACCGAAAGGUAGGUGGACACCGGUCCUAGUGGGAAGGGGCCGUAGGGCAUUUCUCAUCCUGUACGAAUGCACUCGUUACUGAAAAAAAAAAAAAAAAAAGGGGGGGAAA
rnacentral:ncRNA from 1 species